rnacentral:lncRNA from 10 species
AAUCCUAGACAAAGUGAUCUGCAUUUUACCUUUCUUCUUUAAUUUUGGCCCACACAAGCAAAGCCUACAUCUCUCACAGGACAGCACUCCAGAUUUCUUUAACUACCUAUCAUCUCAGAGUGAAUAUUUCUACAUUGUUCUUUGCAUCACCAGCCACUACUAUGGAGGAUGUAUUUUGUAGGCUGAGACCAGGUUAUGUGCUGUGCUCCAUGUACAAGAAACGAUAGGAAAUGAAUCAGAGUUCCUGUUGCUCCAGAUUCUCAAGAACAUAUGAUGUCAUCAGUGUUUUAGGUUUUGGUCAUUACAACAGGCAUUAUUGGCAAGUGGAAUGAGAACAAGAAGAGAUCCAAGGCUGAAUUCUGCAGUUUUUGGCUUCAUUCCAACUUGAAUUUAUAUAGAAUAUUUUCAAUCUGUGGUUGGUUGAAUCCACAGAUGCAAAACCCACAGACGUGAGGGCUGAUUCUACGUGCAAACUGGCCACAAAAGUCCUGGCUGUCUUCAAAGCUGCAUCCUAACGAGGGCAGAGUACCUGGUACAAUGAAUCUGAUUGUAAUUUACAAGAAAAUCACCUCUACUGCCUACAAUAUGUUACCUCAUUUGUUUCCCAGUUCCUAAUUUGUACCCUUAGAUUCUUAGACCAUAAAGUAUUUCCUGAAGGAAUAGAGGGCUCCAAGUGGGAUGAUUUGAGUAGUUCAUUUUGGUGGCUUUUGUUAUGGAAAUAUGUGAGGAUGGUUGAACUUUAGUACUGAUUUUUCAUUCACAUGACAAGAAUGCCUACAUAAAUCAUGUUGCUCUCCCAUUUAAGUAAUUACUAGGUUUGAAGCCAGUUAAAACAAAUGAUAGAAGAUAUUUUAGGUUAAACAACAUGGUUUUGCUUUCAUUGACAUCAACCAUAAUAGGCCUAAAAAUAUAAGUGCAGAAAAGCAUGUUAGUAUCUUUUAUUUCUUUCAAGUAUAUUCAUUUAGUUGACUUUUUCAAAUAUAUUUUAGCUUAUUUUGCCUUCUGAUAAGAAUAGGACAAUUGAAGAAAAGGUUUUCUCACUUCCUUAACAUUAUGAAAGAAUUUUAUUUUGGAAUUGCCUGAGAGGUAAAUGGAAAAUAUGCUCAGUUGGCCCAAAUUCUUUAUUAAACAACAUUAUAAGUGAAAAUCUGUUUUCCCUGCUAUUAUCUGAGUGCUAUGCUUAAAGAAACAAAUAAACAUCCUGACAGUUGACAGACAGGAAAUAUGUUUUGUUUCCUUUUUUAUUCCGGCUUCAUUAUUUUCCAUGGAGAUGGAUUCUUGAAGCGACAGGCUGUGUUCAUUUCAGUUCAACUGUUCAUUGACUUAUGCAACAUAUCAAAUUCCUUACCAAAGUGAAAAAAAAAAAAAGCAGAAUGAAAUUUAGCUAUGAUUCAACCAGAGAAAUUUACAUGUUGGGCAAGGAUUCUUGUUAUUUAAAGAUAAAGGCAUUUUUGAAAGUCCACUGAAAAAUGGCUAAAAUUUUUCUAAUUCUGGUUUGGUGAUAUAUCCUAUUAAUCUGCCACCACUUAUUAAUGGCACUCAUAAUUUAAAGCCCUCUAACACUGGCACCUCACAUCUCAUUAAGGUAUCUCCUCCCAUUCUUCCUGCAAACAUGACAUUUAGGAGACCAUUAUAUGACUU